rnacentral:lncRNA from 1 species
AAGUCAACCUACGAUCUAUGAUGCACUCUGGGAGGCAUUUAGAAGAGCUGGUAUAUGGUGGCCACGGGACUCCUUUUAAGAACUCACUGCCGCAGAAGAGGAGUGUCGUAGGAAUGUAGCAUAGCUCACUGCAGGCUAGACCAGGGUAGCCCAGUGAAGCAGGGGAAUAUUGAGCACUGGAGGCGUCUGAGGACUCACUUUCACCAGGAGAGAGGUCAGGAGACAACCCUGGAAAGGAUGCUUGCUAAGUGAGGCGGCAUGGUGGAAUUGAACUUGGAGGAGGACUGUGCUCAGUACUCUCGUCCCCAAGGCAAGAAGGCUGUGAAGCGGGAAGGAGAAUGGGCCUCCCAAGGUCACUCUCGGCCAUCUGUAACUUCCUGCUUCAGUUCUAAACCUGGGGGCUUGUUUCGUGCCUUCGCUCCAAACAGGUUUUCAAUAUGGUCCCCAUUUGAGUUCGUCUUGGUGACUCUGCUCACACUUUAAAGAAGUUCUCAAGAGGCAAAAGCGCAAAACAGCAAAAAAAUGAAACAAACCAGAAAGUUAGCAAUUCCUCAAAAUCAUUAAGGGAAUUCAGCGCUGACUAGGCAACUCCGGUAUAGAGCGUCACGGAUUUUGUGCCAAAUCUUGCUUGGAAAAGGAGGAGAGGUACCAGAUGGAGCUUUGUGUUGGUGAUGGCGGCAGGUGAGAAACAGGUGAUCGCAAACAGAUGGACCCUGUAUUGCAGAGAGACCACCAGCAUCACACUUUGCCAACUUCUGUGCCCCGAGUAGUCAGAAGAUACAAUUCUGUGUGUGGCAACAUUGUGUUGAGCUCAAACUACAUA